UUUCAGGCUAUUGAGUCAAGACAUCAGCGAAUGUUUUCAUGUGAGGAACCCUCAGAUGGGGUGUUGAUCAAAUUUAAAUAUCCAACUGGACACACCAAUAUGAGGAAAUUCCGUUUGUUGGAGCCAAUCCAGAUCUUGUUUGACUUUGUGGGACAGGAUGAUAUUGCCAGUAAAAUCUUUGUGGUGCAAGAAGCUGCAUCAUCAAGAUCAGUUGAGAGCAGUUCCUCCGGGUCAAUAAUGGAUCAUGGCAUAAAAGCAUCCUCAACUUUAUAUGUGCUUUGGUUUUCAAAUAAGGAUGUACAGGAAAUUCUCUCAGAUCAACAAAAUGAUGGAGCUUAUACCCUACACCAUACAUCUCAUGGUUAGUCAUCACUGUCUGAGACCUCCACCCAGCCAAGUCUCUCUGUGCCCUCUUUCCGGCCACCGCUGCCUGAGCCCUCCACCUGCUCACUGCUGCCUGAGCCCUCCACCCAGCCACCGCUCACUCUGUUCUCAUAACCACAAGAAAUCCUGACUCUUUAUGAUGAACCAUCACUCUCUCCUUCAUCUGCCCAAGAACCAAUCAUUAUUCUUGAUGAACAAGAUGACUUGGUUUCACAAAAUCAGUCUCCUGUAUCAACACAUCACCUCGGAGGACCUGUGGAUGAGAUUGAUCUACAGACCAUAUUGAAAAAAAUGGUCAGCAAAGUUGAUGGAAGAUUCUGUCCAACAAACAACCAAAUGUGUGCAGGGAUAAUGUUUUACUGUGUAGCCUACGGGCAUUCAAGCGUAGGUUCUUCAACCCUGAAGCAAAAUUGGAUGUUGUGUUUGUGGAUGAAGAUGACAAUGGUGAAGGGGCAGUUGACGAAGGCAGCCCGACAAGAGAGUACCUAAGGCUGUUGAUGAGGGCCGGCCACCAGUCAAAUAUCUUUGAGGGACACGAGAAAGACCGGCAGUUGUCUCUAGGUAGGGAAGCCCAAAUUCUUAGGAUUGUCCUCAUUCAACUGGCAGAAUUCUAGAAAUGUAUACACGGAAACAUGAUUUCUCCCUUAUUUCUCCUGUCUGAUUUGUUUAUUCUGUUUGUUUUUUAUGU